rnacentral:rRNA from 1 species
GACGAACGCUGGCGGCAUGCCUAACACAUGCAAGUCGAACGGUAAGGCUUCCUUAGGGGAGUACACGAGUGGCGAACGGGUGAGUAACACGUGGGUAACCUACUCUUGACUGGGGGACAACCGAGGGAAACUUCGGCUAAUACCGCAUAACGUGCAUUGCCUCAAGGUGGUGUACCAGAGCUCCGGCGGUUAAGGAUGGGCCCGCGGCAGAUUAGCUUGGUGGUGAGGUAACGCCUUACCAAGGCGACGAUCGAUAGUAUGUUCGAGCGGACGAUCAGCCGCCCUUGAACUGAGACACGGUCGAGACUCCUACGUGAGGCAGCAAUGGGGAAUGUUACGCAAUGGGCGAAAGCCUGAAUCAGCAAUGCCGCGUGAAGGAAGUCGGCCUUAGGGUUGUAACCCUCUUUCAGCAGGGACGAACACAGACGGUACCUGCAGAAGAAGCCCCGGCUAACUACGUGCCAGCCGCCGCAGUAA